rnacentral:antisense_RNA from 1 species
GCACUGAAGCUCAGGCCCUCCUGGUGCCCUGGUCUUCUGCACUGAGCUGUGUGAGCUCUUCUGUCCAGCAGACCCCCUGGCAUUGACCAGCAUAGAUGCUGACCCCAGAGGAAGACUUGCGUUGGGCCUGCUGGCUCUGGGCUCAGCCCCUGGUGAGCUGAAGCUCAGGCCCUUCCUGGCACCCUGGUCUGCUGCACCGAGCUGCGUGAGCUCUUCCACCCAGGUGCGACUUCCACCCUGGCAUUGACCAGCAUAGGUAUUGAGCCUGGGGGAAGAUAUGAAUUGGUCCCAAUGGCCCCAGGCCAGCAUCCAUCAGCUAGGUGCCCAGCCCCUGGUGCACUGAAGAUUGAUGCCUGUGCGGGGAGGGGGUUGCCUUGGGUUGGGUCGAUGAUGAGAACCUUAUAUUGUCUGAAGAGAGGUGAUGACUUAAAAAUCAUGCUCAAUAGGAUUACGCUGAGGCCCAGCCUAGGUGAGAAUUUUGGAAGAGGAUGCUGGGAAUUACGAGUUCCCUGUGAAGUCCACUGUAUUUUGAGCUAGAGACCUGGAGG